AAGGGCAUAGCUCAACUGGUAGAGUGCGUGCUUAGCAUGCAUGAGGUCCUGAGCUCAAUCCCCAGUACCUCCU
rnacentral:tRNA from 1 species